rnacentral:lncRNA from 1 species
GUUGCAUUGUUUCUUUGGAUAAUAUUGAGCAGUAUGUUUAGCUUCUCUACAAUGUAACCAUAAGCCUUCUUCAUGUCAUCAAAUCUUUUCUUUCUUUGUGAAGGAUUUAAGACGUACUAUAUCAAUUUGCAUUGGUUUUGGCCUCAAUAGAUAAGUUUUUGAAAACUUGGAAGUUGUCAUCAUUAUUUGAUUUGUUGUUCUGUAGCCAACUCUUUGUUCUUGACAUCUUUCAAAUAAUUGAUUUUUUGCAUGCAAUGGCUUAA